rnacentral:rRNA from 1 species
AGAGUUUGAUCAUGGCUCAGAUUGAACGCUGGCGGCAGGCCUAACACAUGCAAGUCGAGCGGUAGCACAGGAGAGCUCGCUCUCUGGGUGACGAGCGGCGGACGGGUGAGUAAUGUCUGGGAAACUGCCUGAUGGAGGGGGAUAACUACUGGAAACGGUAGCUAAUACCGCAUAACGUCUUCGGACCAAAGUGGGGGACCUUCGGGCCUCACGCCAUCAGAUGUGCCCAGAUGGGAUUAGCUAGUAGGUGGGGUAAUGGCUCACCUAGGCGACGAUCCCUAGCUGGUCUGAGAGGAUGACCAGCCACACUGGAACUGAGACACGGUCCAGACUCCUACGGGAGGCAGCAGUGGGGAAUAUUGCACAAUGGGCGCAAGCCUGAUGCAGCCAUGCCGCGUGUGUGAAGAAGGCCUUCGGGUUGUAAAGCACUUUCAGCGAGGAGGAAGGGCAGUGUGUUAAUAGCACAUUGCAUUGACGUUACUCGCAGAAGAAGCACCGGCUAACUCCGUGCCAGCAGCCGCGGUAAUACGGAGGGUGCAAGCGUUAAUCGGAAUUACUGGGCGUAAAGCGCACGCAGGCGGUUUGUUAAGUCAGAUGUGAAAUCCCCGCGCUUAACGUGGGAACUGCAUUUGAAACUGGCAAGCUAGAGUCUUGUAGAGGGGGGUAGAAUUCCAGGUGUAGCGGUGAAAUGCGUAGAGAUCUGGAGGAAUACCGGUGGCGAAGGCGGCCCCCUAGACAAAGACUGACGCUCAGGUGCGAAAGCGUGGGGAGCAAACAGGAUUAGAUACCCCGGUAGU